rnacentral:rRNA from 1 species
AUUGAACGCUGGCGGCAGGCUUAACACAUGCAAGUCGAGCGGAGUGAUGGUGCUUGCACUAUCACUUAGCGGCGGACGGGUGAGUAAUGCUUAGGAAUCUGCCUAUUAGUGGGGGACAACAUCUCGAAAGGGAUGCUAAUACCGCAUACGUCCUACGGGAGAAAGCAGGGGAUCACUUGUGACCUUGCGCUAAUAGAUGAGCCUAAGUCGGCUUAGCUAGUUGGUGGGGUAAAGGCCUACCAAGGCGACGAUCUGUAGCGGGUCUGAGGGGAUGAUCCGCCACAGUGGGACUGAGACACGGCCGAGACUCCGACGGGAGGUGGGAGUGGGGAAUAUUGGACAAUGGCGGGAACCCUGAUCCAGCCAUGCCGCGUGUGUGAAGAAGGCCUUAUGGUUGUAAAGCACUUUAAGCGAGGAGGAGGCUCUUUUAGUUAAUACCCAAGAUGAGUGGACGUUACUCGCAGAAUAAGCACCGGCUAACUCUGUGCCAGCCGCCGCGGUAA